UGCUGAGGUAGCUCAGUUGGUAGAGCACAGGUCUGAAAAACCUGGUGUCGGCAGUUCGAUCCUGCCCCUCAGCAU
rnacentral:tRNA from 1 species